UGACUCCUAGGUUAACUUCCACACCUGU
rnacentral:piRNA from 1 species